rnacentral:lncRNA from 1 species
GAACCAAAAAUGAUAAGUCUAAUCAAUACCUAAAGAGAAAAUAUCAUAUAAAUCCCAAAUAGGAAUCAGAGUUCUCAACCAAAAGUCCCUGAUCUACAAUAAACGCAUAGCAAAACUACUAUAAAAAAGAAAUAUCGACAUAAUCAACCAAAAUAUGAACCAAAACCUCAAAUCCCAGAAGUAUCCAUAACAAUGACUAUAAACUACAUGACAUUGCCAGCUAAAUUACCUGAAAUAAGCAAGAAAUUGGUUAUCGAAAUGGCAUGGCGAAGCUAAUCCAAGCA